AUACCUAUCAAAUUAAGAUUAUUGGUUCUCACACAGUUAAUAUGCAUGCCACAGACGCUGCAGAUAAUAUACAAAUGUCUGACUUUGCAGAUAAUAUACAAUUGUCAAAUGCAGUGGGGUGCCAUAGCCCUCCCAAAAUUUUUGAAUUUAUUAUUUAUUUCCCAUUGUGAUAUAAUUAUAUUUACAAGUAGUUCUCGAGGAAAAUACCACUUGACCCCUCAAAAUUUUCAAAUGUUUGUAUUCUGGUUGGUGUAUGCAUAUUUCUAGACAAUACCCCAACAAAUUAAGUCAUAAUCCUGCUAAAAUCUGUGUCAAGUGAUGAAUAUAUAUAUAGCGUAAGUGUAUUUUUUUGGGUGUGUGUGUGUGUAUGUAAAAUGUAAUCAUGUCUCACUAUCCUUGAUUCCUUUAUUAUAAUGUCAUUUAGUUUUUGAUUGUUUUGAUAACAUGUUUAAGAUUUAUAAUUGAUAUAAUCACAAUCUUGGUCCAAUAUACUAUCAGCAAAUUGUUUAAAAAGGUGUUUCAUAUAUGAUGUAGGACAAAUUGCUGAAUUUGAUCAUAUUAAUAGAAUUUGUGUACAUGUGGUUGUGGUGGGUUUGCUAGUGCACAUGCGGGUUAUUCAAAUAUUAUUGGAGGAUGACAGCAAUAAGAACCAACACUUAGCUCCAAAUAUUUGGGUUUGGUUAUGGAAACUCGACAUAUUAAUCAAGUUAGAAACGUAUUCUUUCAUUCUAUUAUAUCCGAAAUCAUAGUUUUUGUUACAUCUUUAAUUGACAAGUGCUAUUUUGCUAAUUUUAUUAGUAAAAGUUUAGGACUUCCUCUACCUUUUUUGUUCCAUUGACUAGAAUCAAACUCUAUUUUUUAUUGGUGCAUUAAUUGCUCUACUUGGCAUAUGACCAAACCAUUUCACAUGACUCCCUCCCAUUGCUCUACUUGGCAUUAAUUGCUCUACAAAUUUUUAUCAGGACCGUAUCUAUUUUUGAACUUUGCUCUGUACGUAGGGUCCAAGGAAACUAAUGAAAAGGCUACGAGGUUCGAAAGUUGGAUAUCUUGGACUGUUGGACACCAGAAAAUCACUAUCGAUGGACUGAAUCUAAGUGUUAAACAUUUCUAGGUUUAGACCAUCGGUAAUGAUUUUCUGGAGUCCAACCGUCCAAGAUAUCCAACUUUUGAACCUCGUCAGCCUUUUCAUUAGUUUCCUUGGACCCUACCUCUGAGGUCCACGAAAAUGGAGGUGUAUCAUAAGAAGUCGGGUAGGUGUAUUCAAUCGAUAAGUGGACCAAAUGGGGACUGUAUGCCCGUCAGCUACUCCAGCUCAGUACAUGGUCUUCUUCUUCGGGCUCUAUCUGGUUGCUUUGGGGACUGGUGGGAUCAAACCUUGUGUUGAUCAGUACUGCCUUGAUGAUUUAGGAGCUGGCAGAACCAUCGAUAAGAGAUGCAUUUUUUUCUUGCAUUCAACAAGGUGCAGAUCAUGUGAUUGUAAGCCCAUUUUUUCUCUUCCUUGGACGACACUGGCAUCAGGAUAUUCUUUCGUUAGCUGCAAAAGAACACCCUUAUGUGUCAUAUAUCGUUACUGCACCUCUUGGUCUGCAUGAUCUACUUGUGGCAAGGAGCGAGAUUGUAUGACAAGGUUUAUAUUAUGAGAUUUGUAUUACUGGAAAUGUUUGCUCUGUAGAAAUUUGUAUUACAAGAUUUAUAUUAUGAGAUUGUAUGCUGGCCAUUUACAAAGUUGGACAGUAAUG